rnacentral:tRNA from 1 species
GAGUUCAGUGGUAGAGCAUCUGCUUUCCAUGUAGAACCCAGGGUUCAAUCCUCAGCAUCUCCA